AGGCGGCCAGCAGCUUGGGGGUGCUGCGGCCAGGCCGGCGGUGCCGCAGUGCGAGCAGGAGCAGGUCGACAGCAGCAGCUGGGCCAAUUCGGUUUGAAUCCUCUCUUUGCACUUGCCAUUUAAUUCCUGCUCAUUUAUUUAAGCUAAUUGACGGCCACAAGCUGCAAGGUCUGCGCAAUUUGUGGUUUGGAAAGUUACAGGACAUAGAUGGGAGAGGGCUUAUGAAGGUAUGCAUACAUGUCUUUCUCACGCGCAGGACAUGAUGCAAGAGUAUAGAAUUGGUGCAAGAGUAUUGAAAUGAUGCAGGACAUGAUCUCUAAUCUUGUCGUUCUUUAUGCUUAAUGCUCACUUUUUAACAGGACAUGAUGCAAGAGUAUAGAAAUAGAUCAUGGGAUGAAACCUGCAAAUUAACGGCAUAUAACACAUACUAUCUGCCAUUGUUGACAUCUUAUCGUAUUGUAUGAUUUAUGAUUUCUAAAUCUUUUUUUUACUUCCAUUAUCAAUUUAUCAUGCUCCGUUGUUUAGGCCUUUUGAUUUUACGACUCAUAGCCUGGCGCCGUGCGUCCUCCUGGUCAACUUGUUCCACCGCUGAUGGUGUCCAGCUCCUCCCUGAGCUUCCCAUUCUCCUUCUGCAGCGUGGAGACCUUCAGCUGCAGGUGCUGCUCCUCAUGACAGAAGAGGGAGGCAGCUCAUCUAAUGAUUUUGGUUAACACUAAUGUUCCAUCAAUUUGCAAUGGUUAUCCUGACGAUCAUAGGGCAGCCACUGUUAAAAUUUGAUGAAGAUAAUUUUAUCUCAUGAUACACUAUUUCAUAAUUUCUCUACAACCUAAUUGAACUGUACACUUAUUUUUUUUUCAGCGUCAACACAUGAUCAAGAUGUCUUCUGUUAUCCUGACGAGACACCUUUUAAUGGUUUCUCAGAAGCUCUGCGUUGAUAUAGGGAAAUUAUACCACAUUUGCGCUUAGCUGGACCAACAUCCUUUGCACCAAUUAUUGAGAUGGCUAUGACCAUUGUGGAGCAAAGUGGUGGCCAAUACCAUGUUCUAUUGAUAAUUGCCGAUGGCCAAUACUUGUUGCAUGUCAGAUUAUUUGCCAAUGAAUUCGAGGUCCGAUGCCCAACUUCAAAUCGUUCCGUGACUCAAAGGCCAACCAUUUCCCUGGAUUUUAGCACACACAUUCUCUGCAAGCAGGACAGAUCUGUUCCAUAAAAACUGUGAGCAAUAGUUAUAUUUGGAAAGACUCAACGUUCUUCAUUUCUUGUCACAUUGGUAUUCAAUAGUCAAGAUUGGCAGAAUAGGAGACCUGCUUGAUGAAUGCCUGCCGUGCCUAGCUAGAGCCCGUUUUGGUCGACGAAAAGGUGCUAGAGCUCCUUUUGGUUGUUCAUGCUAUCUUGGAGUCUGCUGCGCCUAGCUAACUGAUAGUUGUAAAUAACAUAUGUUAUAUUUGUUGCUACGGACAUAGGUUCGUACUCUUGCAUUGCUAAAUUUUAAUGGUAUUAGCAUGUAAUGGAUGUAUGUGCACCAAAUUGAAAUUUGAAGUUUGAAAAUAGUUGAAUAUAGUUUCAGAAGUUUCAGUGAGUCAAAAUGAAUGUGCAGACUAUGGUACAAUAGACCAAGAAAGUUUUACAAUGAAAGUUGGACAGUUUAAUCCGUAUCACUAGCCUUUCAAUGAGUUUGCCUACAGAAUGCAGUUGUCAUCUGAAUGGCAAACACCUAUGAUCUAAAUGGCAUUUUACAUAAUGCAGUAAGUCGAGUCCUAUCAAAACAACAUCAGUUUUUUAGAGUAGAACUCGUAUGGUGCUAAGUAUCUCUAAUUGCAGCCAAAUUAUCCUACAAAACUGAAAAGGAAAGGAUGUAGUGUUCCUAUUUAUUGGAUUAUAUGCCUUUUAUUUAAUUGUCCCAUAUCUAGGUGUUUCCAAGCUGAUUUUUGCAGUAUAUACAUUGCCAUUCUUGGAUCCUUGUUCAGUCUUGAAUCUUGUGAACAAAUUGGUGCUUCAUGUCUGGCCCGAUAGUUUAAAAAACUCGUGCUUGAUCAACUGAGUCUUGAUGUCUGCAGAUGUGACACCUACUGAUAUCUUUAACAUUGAAAGGACGUUGAGUUUUUGAUACAGCUGCGUGCAAUUUUCAGUAUUUGUUACAUUCAGUACAUUCUGCUUCCAGUAGUUGUAAUUCAGUUUCAGUAUUUAUUACUAAUUCUAUUUUCAUGGAGUCAGGUAUACUUUUCUUUUCUAACUUCACUUGGUACUGCUUCAUGUCUCUUCAUAUUGAACUGUAUAGCUUUGAUCCUGCAUCUCACAAUUUCCUGAAAACGACUCUUUUUGUUCUUUGAACAGGGUCGUAUCUAUUUCGGACUGCAUCAAGGUAUCAAGAGAGGGAAAUGUGUGUCGGCACAUGUUUGGUAGCAUAUUGACACGAGAAGGUACGCUCUGGUUGACAACUAUCCUAUCUGGUAAAACAUUAGAAGUUGCUAGCUGAAAUGCUCUUGCUGCGUUCAGGGUGUUACCGGCAUUAGCUUAAAUCUUCAAGAGUUUUGAAUAUUCAGCUUUUGUGUUCGUUCAUUAAUAUUUAGUUUUAUUUACCUUGUUGAAUCGUCA